rnacentral:ncRNA from 1 species
ACAAUGAUACUCCUGCUUAGUCACAGUCCGAGCGUGAUAGCGUUUUUCCAGCGUGAAGCCGUCGCAGGCAAUGAGAGCAGCCGACAGAGAACCUGCCGGGGGUGAAAAUCCCGUGG